rnacentral:rRNA from 1 species
UACGUAGGGGGCAAGCGUUGUCCGGAAUCAUUGGGCGUAAAGAGCGUGUAGGCGGCCCGGUAAGUCCGCUGUGAAAGUCCAGGGCUCAACCCUGGGAUGCCGGUGGAUACUGUCGGGCUCGAGUCCGGAAGAGGAGUGUGGAAUUCCUGGUGUAGCGGUGAAAUGCGCAGAGUAUCAGGAGGAACACCAAUGGCGAAGGCAGCACUCUGGGACGUGACUGACGCUGAGACGCGAA